UCUCAAGCCAACUUCACAUUGACGUCAAAUACUGAUAUUUAGUCGUCAGGUAUGGCAACCAAAACCCAAUGUCUCCUAGACGUCAUAAUGGAAACGUCCACACAACGUCAAAUUCUAACAUCAUUAGACAUUGAUAUUUAGUUAGACUUAGGUUGGGGCAUUAACUAACCAAAAUCCAACGUCGAGCCAAUGUCUGAAGCCAACGUCACAUUGACGUCAAACACUAACAUUUAGUCGUCAGGUAUGGCGACCAAAACCCAACGUCUCCUAGACAUCAUAAUGGUAACGUCCACACAACAUCAAACUCUAACAUCAUUAGACGUUGAUCUUUUGUUAGUUUUAGGUUGUGGCAUUAACUAACCAAAAUCCAACGUCAAGCCAACGUCUUAAGCCAACGUCAUAUUGAUGUCAAAUACUGACAUUUAGUCGUCAGGUAUGGCGACCAAAACCUGACAUUUAGUCGUCAGGUAUGGCAACCAAAACCCAACAUCUCCUAGACGUCAUAAUGGUAACGUCCACACAACGUCAAAUUCUAACAUCAUUAGACGUUGAUAUUUAGUUAGAUUUAGGUUGCGGCAUUAACCAACCAAAAUUCAACGUCAAGCCAACGUCUUAAGCCAACGUCAUACUGAUGUCAAUGGCGACCAAAACCCAACAUCUCGUAGACGUCAUAUUGGUAACGUCCACACAACGUCCAACUCUAACAUCAUUAGACGUUGAUCUUUUGUUAGUUUUAGGUUGUGGCAUUAACUAACCAAAAUCCAUUAUACCAAAAUACUGACAUUUAGUCGUCAGGUAUGGCGACCAAAACCCAACAUCUCGUAGACGUCAUAUUGGUAACGUCCACACAACGUCCAACUCUAACAUCAUUAGACGUUGAUCUUUUGUUUACAGAAGGCCGUUACAGAAGGUGUUAAUACAGAAGGCCGCGUUUGCUGAUCUUAUUUUUAAUAACAGUAUGAAAUAGUAAAAAAUAACUAACGUUAUAUUGUUAUUUUAUUGUAAAAUAAAAUGUCUCACUGUGGAACAUGAAAAAUUGGCAUAUACACUUGUUCAACAGAGAGGACAUGAAACCACCAUUCUUGAACUCUGAAGAAUACUAUGCAAACCAUGCUUUUGGAUCUACUGUUAAGUUUUUGUAAUAAAGCUGGUGAGUAGGCUAAAUUUCUGUAAGCCCAUGUCUCUGUCAGUAAGUCAACAAUAUUGUUCUAUUAAACCUGUUAAUAUUCAUUUGUGUGUGUUCUCCCUCUCAUGGUCCAGAGGUUUUGGGAUUGAAAAUCUUCUGCCACAUGAUCUUCCGUAAAAAAAAAAGUCAGUUAUGCAGAUUGGAAAAGACAUUGAUGCAGCAAGGAUCCAGCUGAUUACUUCAGAUUUGGUGGACUGCUCUUUAUCUGCUGUGACUGUCACUUCUGGUGCAGAAUCAUGGACCUUUAUUUGUAUGUUUUGAUUUGACUUAUUACACUUGUGUAGCUAGUAUUCAGGAUUAAAAUACAAUGUAAUUUUUGUCCACAUAUAUUAUCAGAGCUAUAUGGAAUCCAAUAGGGUCAGUCAAAUAUUGAGAAAAAACACUAUAAACCUGAUUGGGAAAAUACAAGCUAAAAUACAGUUGCCUCCACAAUCUUUUUCAAAGAAAAAAUCAUGAUACUAAAAUUUUUUGUUUUUCAAUUGCUCCUCAAGAAUUCCUCCUCAGGAAUUUGUUUACAUAAAUUUACAUCUAAAUAAUGAAACAGUUUUAAGCAUGGAAUACACUACACGACUUCUGAACAGAUUUUUAAAACAUAUUUUUGACUUACCGACUUUGUAAAUAAUGACAAAGGAAAGCUGGGCAUCAUAUCCUUAAGCCUGGAAUACACUACACGAUUUUUGCCCUGAUUUUCCGCCAAUUUACAGUCAGGAGAAGUUGACGCUAGUUGCCGAAAGUCAGAGCCAGUCUGCAGAUUUGAGAUGACAGAUUCCAUAGAAAAUUGCAUAGUGUAUGAUAGUCACAGACUAUCAAACGUUUGAUAUUUUCAGCCGAUUUUACAAUGCAUAUUGUUUUCAUUUGUCAUGCGUCUCCUAGCAACAAGGCUCAUGUUUCUGAGUGAGUUUGUUGUGAUCGGAACAACUUUAAAGUCUGGUAGUGUGUGAUCCUCAGUCAUGUAGUGUAUGAUGCCCAGUUUUCCUUUGUCGCUAUUUACAAAGUCAGUAUAUGUAUGAUGCCUAGUGUUUUAAAAAUCUGUUCAGAUUUUAAAAGUCAUAUAGUGUAUUCCAGCCUUUAGAAUUAACAGUCAUUUGAAACAGUGGCAAUCUUGUAGAUGUUUUGUAUUUCUUCUUUUGAGAAUAUUUAAUUCAACUUCUGAUCAAACUGUUCUGUUAAUUGGUACAGUAUUGUAAAUGUUGAAAUGUAUUUCCUUUCAAAUUUGUACUUUUUUUUUCUUCAAAA